AAAAAAUUAGUUAAAAUAUAAUAUAGUUUUGUCAAGACUAAGUAACUUCCAGGUGUUUUUUU
rnacentral:tRNA from 1 species